rfam:Chlorocebus sabaeus isolate 1994-021 chromosome 22, whole genome shotgun sequence.
GCCAAGCAUGGUGGCUCAUGCCUGUAAUUCCAGCACUUCAGAAGGCUGAGGUGGGAGGAUCACUUGAGUCUAGGAGUUCAGGGCUGCAGUGAGCUAUGAUCGUGCCACUGCACUCCAGCAUGGACAACAAAAUGAGACCCUGUCUCUA